rnacentral:rRNA from 1 species
UUAUCUCUGUAGAGUCUGCAUAUCAAUAAGCGGAGGAAAAGAAACUAACUAGGAUUCCCUCAGUAACGGCGAGUGAAGCGGGAAGAGCUCAAAUUUGAAAUCUUCAAGGUUCUACCUUGACGAAUUGUAGUUUAAAGAAGUGUUUUCUGUUGGAGUUUUGGUAAAAGUUCUUUGGAAUAGGACAUCAUAGAGGGUGAGAAUCCCGUAUUUGACCAUUAUUUUCCAACUUUUGUGAUACACUUUCAAAGAGUCGGAUUGUUUGGGAAUGCAGUCCAAAAUGGGUGGUAAAUUUCAUCUAAAGCUAAAUACUGGCGAGAGACCGAUAGCGAACAAGUACCGUGAGGGAAAGAUGAAAAGAACUUUGAAAAGAGAGUUAAACAGUACGUGAAAUUGUCAAAAGGGAAGCGUUUGACACCAGUGUUGUUUUCUCGAAAAUCAAUUAAAAAUGGGGAUUUUGGAUUUUGUAUUGUUAGACCUUAUCAGCUUACUGUACUUUUUUUCCUGCUCUUUUUUAAUGCACUUUUCGUUUAACAAGUCAACAUCAAUUUCUUUUGUUGUAAAAAGGUCAUUGGAAGGUGGCUUUCUUUUCGGAGAAAGUGUUUAUAGCCUUUGACUUCUGCAAUCGGAGAGAUUGAGGUCUGCAGCGUAGAUCCUUCGGGGUUAGAUUACAUUAGAUGCUAAGUUAUAGCUUUUUAUAGACAACUUGUUGACUAUAAUUAAGUCAUGUAGCUUACUCGCUUAUGCGCUAUUUUACCUACGCUUAGGAUGUUGAUCUCUCACAGUCGAGC